rnacentral:misc_RNA from 1 species
GUAGGUGAACCUGCGGAAGGAUCAUUAACAAAUCAUCGUGGGGCGCUCGCGCCCCAUAUACACCCGUUGCUGGGAAGGGUUCUGCCCGGACCGGCUCUGGUUGCAGCCCCUUUGCGGGGGCUGUAGGCUGUGCGUCUGCUGCUAGUCAGCGGGGGCCGGCCACAUAGACGCUUGCAUGUUUGACAGAGUUUAGUUGCUUCGUAAAGAAUACAACUUUUAACAAUGGAUCUCUUGGCUCUUGCAUCGAUGA